ACUCCUACGGGAGGCAGCAGUGGGGAAUUUUGCGCAAUGGGCGAAAGCCUGACGCAGCAACGCCGCGUGAGUGAUGGAGGCUUUCGGGUCGUAAAGCUCUGUCAGGGGGAAAGAAGUGUAUUGCGGCUAAUAUCCGCGAUACUUGACGGUACCCCCAAAGGAAGCACCGGCUAACUCCGUGCCAGCAGCCGCGGUAAUACGGAGGGUGCAAGCGUUGUUCGGAAUUAUUGGGCGUAAAGCGCGUGUAGGCGGUUUGCUAAGUCUGAUGUGAAAGCCCCGGGCUCAACCCGGGAAGUGCAUUGGAAACUGGCAGACUUGAAUACGGGAGAGGGUAGUGGAAUUCCUAGUGUAGGAGUGAAAUCCGUAGAUAUUAGGAGGAACACCGGUGGCGAAGGCGGCUGCCUGGACCGAUAUUGACGCUGAGACGCGAAAGCGUGGGUAGCAAACAGGAUUAGAUACCCUGGUAGUCCACGCCGUAAACGAUGAGAACUAGGUGUCGCGGGUA
rnacentral:rRNA from 1 species